GAAAUGCGAUAAGUAGUGUGAAUUGCAGAAUUCAGUGAAUCAUCGAAUCUUUGAACGCACAUUGCGCCCCUUGGUAUUCCAUGGGGCAUGCCUGUUCGAGCGUCAUUUGUACCCUCAAGCUCUGCUUGGUGUUGGGUGUUUGUCCCCGUCUCCGCGCGUGGACUCGCCCCAAAGUGAUUGGCAGCCGGCGUACUGGUCCCGGAGCGCAGCACAUGUCGCGCAAACGAGUGCCUUGGUACGGCGGCGUCCAUAAGCCCCUCUCUCACGCUCUUGACCUCGGAUCAGGUAGGGAUACCCGCUUAACUUAAGC
rnacentral:misc_RNA from 1 species